AUUUUCGAGUUUUUCGUCUGACGUUUCUUUAGUUCUAUAUUUUCUGGGUUCUUAGUUUCUGAUAGCAGUUGGACUUUGUUGAGUGUUCCUGCUUCUUCAGUUUUGGGUCGGUAUGCCUUGCUUAUUGUUUAAGGUUGUUUUGAUUCGAUGUCUUAGACGCUCCACUAUUACUUUGUUUUAAUUAAGUUUGGAUUUUGACAAUGUAAUGAGUAUUAUGAAUUAUUAUUUUUGUUUUAAUUACU